UACGUAGGGUGCAAGCGUUGUCCGGAAUUAUUGGGCGUAAAGAGCUCGUAGGCGGUUUGUCGCGUGUGAAAGCCCCGGGCUCAACCUGGGAACGGCGCGCGAAACGGGGGGGCUUGAGUUCGGGAGAGGAGAGUGGAAUUCCCAGUGUAGAGGUGAAAUUCGUAGAUAUUGGGAAGAACACCGGUGGCGAAGGCGGCUCUCUGGACCGAGACUGACGCUGAGGCGCGAAAGCGUGGGGAGCAAACAGG
rnacentral:rRNA from 1 species